rnacentral:rRNA from 1 species
UUGGUUCAGGACGAACGCUGGCGGCGUGCCUAAUACAUGCAAGUCGAGCGAAUCGAUGGGAGCUUGCUCCCUGAGAUUAGCGGCGGACGGGUGAGUAACACGUGGGCAACCUGCCUAUAAGACUGGGAUAACUUCGGGAAACCGGAGCUAAUACCGGAUACGUUCUUUUCUCGCAUGAGAGAAGAUGGAAAGACGGUUUACGCUGUCACUUAUAGAUGGGCCCGCGGCGCAUUAGCUAGUUGGUGAGGUAAUGGCUCACCAAGGCGACGAUGCGUAGCCGACCUGAGAGGGUGAUCGGCCACACUGGGACUGAGACACGGCCCAGACUCCUACGGGAGGCAGCAGUAGGGAAUCUUCCGCAAUGGACGAAAGUCUGACGGAGCAACGCCGCGUGAACGAAGAAGGCCUUCGGGUCGUAAAGUUCUGUUGUUAGGGAAGAACAAGUACCAGAGUAACUGCUGGUACCUUG